rnacentral:rRNA from 1 species
UAGGGAAUCUUCGGCAAUGGACGAAAGUCUGACCGAGCAACGCCGCGUGAGUGAAGAAGGUUUUCGGAUCGUAAAACUCUGUUGUUAGAGAAGAACAAGGACGUUAGUAACUGAACGUCCCCUGACGGUAUCUAACCAGAAAGCCACGGCUAACUACGUGCCAGCCGCCGCGGUAAUACGUAGGUGGCAAGCGUUGUCCGGAUUUAUUGGGCGUAAAGCGAGCGCAGGCGGUUUCUUAAGUCUGAUGUGAAAGCCCCCGGCUCAACCGGGGAGGGUCAUUGGAAACUGGGAGAGUGGAGUGCAGAAGAGGGGAGUGGAAUUCCAUGUGUAGCGGGGAAAUGCGUAGAUAUAUGGAGGAACACCAGUGGCGAAGGCGGCUCUCUGGUCUGUAACUGACGAUGAGGCGCGAAAGCGUGGGGAGCAAACAGG